CUGCGUAUCAACUACCAGAGUAUCACAAAAAGUCAUCCAAAAUAGCACAUCCACUACCAACUCCGGAACAAGGACAAGAAUUUUUAAGAAGACAACAGUAUUAGCAACACCAGCCGCGCAAUUGCCGAACAGUCAGAUUAUGUAUAAAGCAUAUUCUUAAUUCUUUUAAAAUUAGCGCUUCACGCAAUAUAUGUACACUUUUAUUAGAAUAAAAUAAAAUCAAAAACUGUGUCUAUGCAAAUAAUUAAU